AGAGUUUGAUCAUGGCUCAGAUUGAACGCUGGCGGCAGGCCUAACACAUGCAAGUCGAACGGUAACAGAAAGCAGCUUGCUGCUUUGCUGACGAGUGGCGGACGGGUGAGUAAUGUCUGGGAAACUGCCUGAUGGAGGGGGAUAACUACUGGAAACGGUAGCUAAUACCGCAUAAUGUCGCAAGACCAAAGAGGGGGACCUUCGGGCCUCUUGCCAUCGGAUGUGCCCAGAUGGGAUUAGCUAGUAGGUGGGGUAAAGGCUCACCUAGGCGACGAUCCCUAGCUGGUCUGAGAGGAUGACCAGCCACACUGGAACUGAGACACGGUCCAGACUCCUACGGGAGGCAGCAGUGGGGAAUAUUGCACAAUGGGCGCAAGCCUGAUGCAGCCAUGCCGCGUGUAUGAAGAAGGCCUUCGGGUUGUAAAGUACUUUCAGCGGGGAGGAAGGGAGUAAAGUUAAUACCUUUGCUCAUUGACGUUACCCGCAGAAGAAGCACCGGCUAACUCCGUGCCAGCAGCCGCGGUAAUACGGAGGGUGCAAGCGUUAAUCGGAAUUACUGGGCGUAAAGCGCACGCAGGCGGUUUGUUAAGUCAGAUGUGAAAUCCCCGGGCUCAACCUGGGAACUGCAUCUGAUACUGGCAAGCUUGAGUCUCGUAGAGGGGGGUAGAAUUCCAGGUGUAGCGGUGAAAUGCGUAGAGAUCUGGAGGAAUACCGGUGGCGAAGGCGGCCCCCUGGACGAAGACUGACGCUCAGGUGCGAAAGCGUGGGGAGCAAACAGGAUUAGAUACCCUGGUAGUCCACGCCGUAAACGAUGUCGACUUGGAGGUUGUGCCCUUGAGGCGUGGCUUCCGGAGCUAACGCGUUAAGUCGACCGCCUGGGGAGUACGGCCGCAAGGUUAAAACUCAAAUGAAUUGACGGGGGCCCGCACAAGCGGUGGAGCAUGUGGUUUAAUUCGAUGCAACGCGAAGAACCUUACCUGGUCUUGACAUCCACGGAAGUUUUCAGAGAUGAGAAUGUGCCUUCGGGAACCGUGAGACAGGUGCUGCAUGGCUGUCGUCAGCUCGUGUUGUGAAAUGUUGGGUUAAGUCCCGCAACGAGCGCAACCCUUAUCCUUUGUUGCCAGCGGUCCGGCCGGGAACUCAAAGGAGACUGCCAGUGAUAAACUGGAGGAAGGUGGGGAUGACGUCAAGUCAUCAUGGCCCUUACGACCAGGGCUACACACGUGCUACAAUGGCGCAUACAAAGAGAAGCGAUCUCGCGAGAGCAAGCGGACCUCAUAAAGUGCGUCGUAGUCCGGAUUGGAGUCUGCAACUCGACUCCAUGAAGUCGGAAUCGCUAGUAAUCGUGGAUCAGAAUGCCACGGUGAAUACGUUCCCGGGCCUUGUACACACCGCCCGUCACACCAUGGGAGUGGGUUGCAAAAGAAGUAGGUAGCUUAACCUUCGGGAGGGCGCUUACCACUUUGUGAUUCAUGACUGGGGUGAAGUCGUAACAAGGUAACCGUAGGGGAACCUGCGGUUGGAUCACCU
rnacentral:rRNA from 1 species